rnacentral:rRNA from 1 species
UGGGGAAUAUUGGACAAUGGGCGCAAGCCUGAUCCAGCAAUGCCGCGUGAGUGAUGAAGGCCUUCGGGUUGUAAAGCUCUUUCGUCCGCGACGAUGAUGACGGUAGCGGAAGAAGAAGCCCCGGCUAACUUCGUGCCAGCAGCCGCGGUAAUACGAAGGGGGCGAGCGUUGUUCGGAAUUACUGGGCGUAAAGGGCGCGUAGGCGGUCGGCCGCGUCAGAUGUGAAAGCCCCGGGCUCAACCUGGGAACCGCAUUUGAGACGGGUCGACUCGAGUUCGGGAGAGGAUGGUGGAAUUCCCAGUGUAGAGGUGAAAUUCGUAGAUAGUUGGGAAGAACACCGAGGGCGAAGGCAGCCAUCUGGACCGACACUGACGCUGAGGCGCGAAAGCGUGGGGAGCAAACAGGAUUAGAUACCCUGGUAGUCCACGCCGUAAACGAUGAGUGCUAGCCGCUGGGACGCUUGCGUGUCGGUGGCGUCGCUAACGC